AUGAUACGCGAGGAACCUUACCUGGGCUCGAACGUAAGAUGACUGUAGGUGAAAGCUUACAUCUCUUCGGAGCAUUUUACGAGGUGCUGCAUGGUUGUCGUCAGCUCGUGCCGUGAGGUGUCGGGUUAAGUCCCAUAACGAGCGCAACCCCUACCUUUAGUUGCCAUCAGGUUAAGCUGGGGACUCUAAAGGAACUGCCUACGCAAGUAGUGAGGAAGCGGGGAUGACGUCAAAUCAGCACGGCCCUUACGUCCAGGGCUACACACGUGCUACAAUGGCCGAUACAGAGGGCAGCUACCUGGUGACAGGAUGCAAAUCUCCAAAGUCGGUCUCAGUUCGGAUCGGAGUCUGCAACCCGACUCCGUGAAGUUGGAUUCGCUAGUAAUCGCGCAUCAGCCAUGGCGCGGUGAAUACGUUCCCGGGCCUU
rnacentral:rRNA from 1 species